ACCCAACUGCUAUCGGGAUGGGAUUAAGCCAUGCGAGUCAGCGCUUCUAGCUAUGGUGAGGCGCGGCGUACGGCUCUGUAACACGUAGCUAACCUACCCUCCGGACGGAGAUAACCUUGGGAAACUGGGGUUAAUAUCAGAUAGAUGAAGAUGCCUGGAAUGGUUUUUCAUCUAAAAGAGUAUGGUGCCAUGCAUCCACACUCGCCGGAGGAUGGGGCUGCGGCCGAUCAGGUUGCUGGUGGGGUAAUGGCCCACCAGGCCUAUAACCGGUACGGGCCGUGAGAGCGGGAGCCCGGAGAUGGGCACUGAGAUAAGGGCCCAGGUCCUACGGGGCGCAGCAGGCGCGGAAACUCCGCAAUGCGCGAAAGCGUGACGGGGCCACCCCGAGUGCCAUCCGAUGAGGAUGGCUUUUCCUUGGUAUAACUAGCCAGGGGAAUAAGGGGAGGGCAAGCCUGGUGUCAGCCGCCGCGGUAAUACCAGCUCCCCGAGUGGUUGGGAUGUUUAUUGGGUCUAAAGCACUCGUAGCCCGCCGAAAAAGUUCUCCGUUAAAUUCGGCGAUUCAAUCGUCGGCGUGCGGGGAAAACUUUUCGGAUUGGGGGCGGAGGAAGUCGGCGGUAUUUCUGGGGUAGGGGCGAAAUCCUAUAAUCCCAGGAGGACCACCAGUGGCGAAGGCGGCCGACUAAAACGCGCCCGACGGUGAGGGGUGAAAGCUGGGGGAGCGAACGGGAUUAGAUACCCCGGUAGUCCCAGCUGUAAACAAUGCAGGCUAGGUGUUGGAACAGCUUCGAGCAGUUCCAGUGCCGCAGGGAAGCCGUUAAGACUGCCACCUGGGAAGUACGGCCGCAAGGCUGAAAUCUUAAGAAAUAAGAGCUAAAAAUCUGUUUAUAUCUUAAGACAGCAAACUUAAAGGAAUUGGCGGGGGAGCACCACAAGGGGUGAAGCCUGCGGUUUAAUUGGAGUCAACCCCGGGAAACUUACCAGGGGCGACAGCGGGAUGAAAGCCAGAUUAAAGGUCUUGCUGGACUAGUUGAGAGGAGGUGCAUGGCCGUCGCCAGUUCGUGCCGUGAGGUGUUCUCUUAAGUGAGACAACGAACGAGACCCGCGCUUCUAGUUGCAACCGGAUCACACCAGUGAUACGGGCACACUAAAAGGACUGCCUCCGCUAAGGGGGAGGAAGGAGCGGGCAACGGCAGGUCAGUAUGCCCCGAAUCCCCUGGGCUACACGCGGGCUGCAAUGACUGGGACAAUGGGCUCCAACCCCGAAAGGGGAAGGCAAUCCCGAAACCCAGCCUCAGUUUGGAUCGAGGGCUGUAACUCGCCCUCGUGAAAAUGGAAUCCCUAGUAAUCGCGUGUCAACAUCGCGCGGUGAAUACGUCCCUGCUCCUUGC
rnacentral:rRNA from 1 species